rnacentral:rRNA from 1 species
GAUGAACGCUGGCGGCGUGCUUAACACAUGCAAGUCGAGCGAAAAGACGAGGAGCUUGCUCCUUUGACGUUAGCGGCGGGCGGGUGAGUCACACGUGGAUACUCCCCCUAUCAGACUGGGAUCACUACGGGAAACCGGAUCUAAUACCGGAUAAUAUACUGAACCGCAUGGGUCAAUAGUGAAAGACGGUUUUGCUGUCACUUAUAGCUGCAUCCGAGCCGCAUUAGCUGGUUGGUAAGGUCACGGCUUAUCACGGCAACGAUGCGUAGCCGACCUGAGAGGGGGAUCGGCCACACGGGAACUGAGACAGGGUCCAGACUCCUGCGGGAGGCAGCAGUAGGCAAUCGGCCGCAAUGGUCGGAAACCUUGCGGAGCAACGCGGCGUGAGUGAUAGAGGUCUUCGGUUCGGAAAACUCUGUUAUUAGUGAAAGACAAAUGUGUAAUUAACUGUACACGGCUUGACGGUACCGAAUCAAAAAGCCACGGCUAACUACGUG